CCCCAGUGGGGUCCCUGAGCCGGAGCUCUGCCAACGAGGAACGUACUGCCAAGGUCCAGCAGCCAAGCUGGCUGUGGCCUGUGUGCCUCGCCCUGCCAGUCACCACUGCCCUGAGAGAGGCACCACCACGCCACGACCAUGCAGCACUGGCAGCUUCUCUGUAAGCAAUGAGCAGGAGCCUGGGACAUUGCAUGACAUUGGCCUUCCAGACCCAGAGGAGCUAUCGGCACCCUCCUCCCCACUGCCUGCCAUGUGCACUCAAGUGUCAGGAAGGGGGUGCCAUUGCACGAGUCCCUCACUGCUCUGCUAAUGCCAUCUUUGCAGGCUUCUUCAGUGAA